AGCUGAUUUGGCUACCAUGCAGAGCUGCGCCAGAUUUUGCACUCUUCGGUUUUAGUAAAUCAACAUCACUGUGUGUCACACCCUUUAGUGAAUCAUCCGAAAAAUCUGGAGUCAUUUUAAAAGACCUUUCAUCAUUACUGUUUCCUGUAGUUUAGUCUUCAGACUUCAGCUGGUGAUUUCUCUUGAUUUAGAGUGGAGUAUCGUGGCAUGAGCAGCAGGAGACGUGAGUAUUUAAUUAAUUUUACAGGUACGGCUUUGAUUAAAAAAAAUAAUAAAAUAGGUUUAAUGAUAAACUCGCUUUAACAUAAUAUACGGUACAUAAAAGUCAAGGGAAAGUGUGACCCCUUAAGGUAUUAAACCCCAAAAACAGAAAUAUAUAUUGUAGCUAACCAAUUUUUAUAUUUUGCUUAUUUUAUAUAAUGCACCUUAUCAAUCCUGAAAUGUGAUGGCUGCAUUUGAUUUUCCGUUUACCAGCUUGUGACUUGUCUCCUGUCCUAUUGUGUUUCAACUCUGGAUCGGAGUAAUGGAGGCACCUUUGGACGGCAGCAUUUCGUUAUCUCGUUUUUGCUAGGAGACCACCCUGGAUCAGUCGCUGGUUGUGGGUGGGUGGGUGGUUGUGUGGGCAAGUAGAAAAGGAUUCCUCCAGCAAAUUGUGCCCAGUAUUAGAUCAUGGCAAUAAAACAUUUUGGGGUUUGGGUUGUUGCCUUAUGGUUGUUUCCACGUGUAGACUUGGGAAAAGUAGGAAAAACGGAGCGCCCGGUGUCCAGAAAAAUGCGAAUUGGAAAGUAAGGCAAAAGCUGUUUGUUAAAAGUAGUGACAAGAACAUUGGGCCAACGACCUUCAAGGUAAAGGACCCCCUCCCCCUUUCUUCAGAGCUUUUGCUGCAUGCUAUUAAAUGGAGGGGGGAGAAAGAUAAAGAUUCCUAAGCCGGAUAUAUAUAUUUGCGUGGUAUCAGUGAGAAGAAUAACUUCUGUGCUGGCAGGUGCAGCAACUGCAACCACAGCUGUCAGCCUGCUCUGAUACCAUGCAAAUCCAGUUGUGUCGUACCGUCCCUCCCCCACAUCCAAAAAACGCAUUGACUCAAUGUACUUGUCUCUACUUUUAAUAAACACUUUUUAACCUCCCUUCCAUUUUGCAUUUUUUUAUUUACUUUUGCAAUUCUGUUAGGGGAGGGUAAGUGUUGGAUGCACCAGCAGAUUUUAGAUGGAUUUGACUGACCAAAAAAAUCUGAACUCCAGCUAAUGCUGCUACAAUUUUAUUUUACCUUUUUGGAGUAAAGGUUUUUACCCAAAUUAUUAAAGUUGACCAUUGUAAGCACCCCUGUCUGUGUUAAAUUGGUUGCCUCAACCCGCUAACAGACUAAGCUGUCCAACAAAAGUGUCAGAGGAAGUUAAAAAAUAAAAUGUACUGGCAGGACCAACAGGUGAAAAUAAAAGAAAACUAAUCUAAAUGCCACUUUUAUAUAAUUGGUAAGCUACAACAACAUUUUUGUUUUUUGGUUUAAUAGCGCUUGGAAGGUUGGAACGCCUGGGGAGACUUUUUUUUUUUUUUUUUUUGGUGCACAGGCUUUAACCCAAUAUAUAUUAUUAGUAGGGACUCGUUUCCAAAACUUUUGUACAGCUCCAUGCGAAAAUGUUAGAAUUGAAAGGGAUUGGAUGCUGUGGGCUUUCUGAGGAGCGACUUGUAGCCUUUGGUAAAACCUAUGCAUGUAUCUGGUCCAUCAUCAAUAUUGAGACUAAACUGACAGGAUGAAUCCUCACUCUUGCCCGAGUUGUGCUAUACACAGGUUUGGCUUAUCCCUCAUUAGAAACAGCUUGAAUUGGUUUAAUUUAUUUUCUAGUAUUUCCCAGUAUUAGUUUUCUACCUCCAAACUGUGAAGUUGUAAAAUAAAUUAAUUUUUUAUUGUGAUAAAAUAAAAGUUUAUUUUUAUA